GACGAACGCUGGCGGCGUGCCUAACACAUGCAAGUUGAGCGACGAACCAGGGCUUGCCCUGGGGCAAAGCAGCGAACGGGUGAGUAACACGUGGGUAACCUGCCCCGAUGAUCGGGACAACCCGAGGAAACUCGGGCUAAUACCGAAUGUGCUCGCCGGACACCAGUCCGGCGCGUAAAGGAAGCCUCGGCCUCCGCAUCGGGAGGGGCCCGCGGCCCAUUAGCUUGUUGGUGAGGUAACGGCUCACCAAGGCAACGACGGAUAGCUGGCCUGAGAGGGUGGUCAGCCACACUGGGACUGAGACACUGCCCAGACUCCUACGGGAGGCUGCAGUCGAGGAUAUUUUUCAAUGGGCGCAAGCCUGAAAAUGCGACGCCGCGUGCGGGAUGAAGGCCUUCGGGUCGUAAACCGCUGUCAAGUCGGGCGAAUACCUGUCCUGCCAAUACCAGGAUCGGUUGACGGUACGAUUAAAGGAAGCCACGGCCAACUCCGUGCCAGCAGCCGCCGCCGUAA
rnacentral:rRNA from 1 species